CACUUGGGCAAGCUGAUGUAAGCCUCUGGGGUCUCAAAGUUGAUGGGAUCCAGUGUGGCCACGUUCUCACACUUGAACACAACUUCACCAUAGAUUUUCAUCUUGGUGUCUCCAAUCCGGGCCAAGCGAGACAGCUCUAGACGGAUGUCAUUAUUCUUAUAAACAACCUGUCAAAAGCCAAACAAAAGUGCCAUAUGAAUCAGUCUUGCAAAUGGUAUCAAUCCAUCACUCACUGGGCAUCCAGGAAAAGGAUCUGAAGAAGCUUCAGGAAAUAAUGGGCUGAAACAACAUGUGAAACAAAAGACUCAUCACAAAGAAAAAAAAGCAUUCCAAGAGACGGCUGGGAACCAUGUGGAUAUAUUACCUUAAAGAAUGAUUGACUGGGGCUGAAGAGAUGGCUCACUGGGAAAAGUGAUUACCACACUUUAAAGACCCAAAUUUGAAUCACUAGAACCCACAUAAAGCUGAACACGAUUGUGUGUUUCUGCAAUCCUGGUGCUUCUAUGGCAGGACAGAAGCAGAGUCAGGAGAAACGCUGAAUUCCAUGAAUUGGGUCAUCUGCCAGGCCACUGUCUCAAGCACAGUAGGGAUCCAAGACAGAAAGUGAAAAGAGCCUUUAAAAUGAAGAUGAAGACCAGCUCUUCUGUCUGAAGCAUACAUUGCUGACUGACAAUGAUAAGCAGUAUGAAAAUUUCUGAAGAAGUGAUUGGGAAAAGCAGAGGCAGAAAAUGGUUGGUGAUAAUGACUUCUGUCAAAGACUCUUGGGAGGCAAGCUCUCUAUCAGGACCUUAUAAUUGCUUGUUUGUAUGUGCAGAAUUUCUGAUGGUAAAAAGAGAGUUAACAUCUUCCUUUGCUGCCAGUUAAGAAACCUUUCUGAACCUCAGUGUUAUUCAUUGCCUCAAUCCACCCCUGCCCAGUGAUCACUCUGUACUUGCAGGUUAAUGUUAAGAGGAAGUUAAAAGCCAUCCAUAAUAAAACACAGCAACUUAGCAACUGGCACACACACAAAAAAAAUAUAGGGAAAUGCAAUGCUACAUCUUGAUCUACAGCAGUGUUAGAACUCUAUCAAAAUAAGUGGCCUCAAAGUAAGAUUCUGUAGAAUAGUUACUACCAAAAAGGAUAUGGAGGGCAAUUGUCUUGAAGCCCUGUGACACACAACUGACCAGCUUUGUUGCUGCCAUCCAUCCCUUUACCUCCCACAUGCACUCUAAACAGCUUCCACAGCUUGUCAGAAGAGGACUGGUACCUUGAGCUUGUGUACCUGGGCAUAAAACUGGAAGAUCAGCCAGACCAUUGCCCACAGUGAAUUAACAUUGGAACGGUGUUGUUUUCUAGAAAAUCUGCCGCUCACUUAAGUAAGUGUCCCAAACUGAUGGACUGAACUAGACAGAACAAGUGGCAUCAAGUGACAGAAAACAUCUUUGUUGACAAGCUGCCCUGGCAAGAAGCAAUUAAAGACAAAGUGGAAAUGGUACCCCAUGGGGGAAGAUGUCACACAACCAAAGAGGCAGAGUGUAAGAAUGACAAGCUGGUCUUACCAUCCCACCCAUAGAUUAAAGACUGUUGUUUGGACUUAUAACUCAUGCUUAAGAGACCAGCUGGGGAAAGAGCUAAGAAUAGAGGCUCAGAAUUAAGAGAAAGUUUCUGAACAAAUGCCUUUGUUUUCCGCUAUGGUCAUGAUAUAGAGGCAUAUAGAUACACUGUGAUGUGGGAGCAAUAUAAUAAUAAAAUAAUAUAGUCAUCUGUCUCUUAAAACUUAGCUUUGUUACUGUGAAAUAAACUCAAUCUGGUCUGUUCAAUUGGCCUUAAAUACCAU
rnacentral:lncRNA from 1 species